CUCCGGAAAGAUCGCGAAGGACCUAUUCGAGAUCGUCUGGACCAAGGGCGGCGAUCCGAAAGCGCUGGUCGACAGCCUCGGCAUGAAGCAGGUGACCGAUCUCGGCGCCAUCGGGGGGCCGACAUCAUCGCCGCCAAUCCCGACAAGGCCGAACAGGCGCGCGCCAAACCUCAGCUCAUGGGCUGGUUCGUCGGUCAGGUGAUGAAGUCAUCGGGCGGCAAGGUGAAUCCGCAGGCGGUGAACGACCUGCUGAAGGCCAAGCUCGGUAUCUAAACAUCGUUAACGAGAGGAUGGCGGGCGCGCGGCGUGGGCUUCGGGCGUCCCUUUACAGGCCCGUUUUCCGUUUUUAGGUUUGC
rnacentral:misc_RNA from 1 species